UACGGAGGGUGCGAGCGUUGUCCGGAAUCACUGGGCGUAAAGGGCGCGUAGGCGGCCUGGUAAGUAGGGGGUGAAAUCCUGCGGCUUAACCGCAGGGCUGCCCUCUAAACUGUCAGGCUCGAGCACGGUAGAGGCAGAUGGAAUUCCCGGUGUAGCGGUGGAAUGCGUAGAUAUUGGGAGGAACACCAGUGGCGAAGGCGGCUCACUGGACCGGUACUGACACUGAGGCGCGAAAGCGUGGGGAGCAAACAGG
rnacentral:rRNA from 1 species